UACGGAGGGGGCUAGCGUUGCUCGGAAUCACUGGGCGUAAAGCGCACGUAGGCGGAUUGCUAAGUCAGGGGUGAAAUCCUGGAGCUCAACUCCAGAACUGCCUUGAUACUGGCGACCUUGAGUCCGGGAGAGGUGAGUGGAACUGCGAGUGUAGAGGUGAAAUUCGUAGAUAUUCGCAAGAACACCAGUGGCGAAGGCGGCUCACUGGCCCGGUACUGACGCUGAGGUGCGAAAGCGUGGGAGCAACAGG
rnacentral:rRNA from 1 species